AUCCUAGAAGGCUACCCCUUGUCUACAUGUCCUUCCUACUUCUUGUGAACUCUGGCUUCUGACCCAUGUCACUCAGCUGGAAAUGGCUGUCUCUGAGUGGUGUGACUUUCCCCGGCAAUGUUCAUCAGUGGUGGAGUUCUAGGGGAUGUUUUCACAUGGGGAUGGAUAUCCUGGAGCUGGUGAGGAGAUCCAUGGACAGGAGACUGAAGGAAGCCCUUGGAAGGACAAGGAAGUGGUGUGGGACACCAGAAGAGCCUUCGUGUUCUCCAAUAUAAACCAGUGUUGUGGAAUCAGUUUCCAGAGCAUUUCCAUUUCCUGUGAUAAAGGAAGGGCAUUUCCAAGACUCAAGCAGCUGGACAACCCCUACCAUGCCAGACAGGAGCCUUGCAGAUAAGGGCUCAAUUGAGUCUGAGAUGCUCUCUGCAAGGAACCAAAUCUUCCCAAAGCUCCAAAAGAGAAUGCCUGGUAGUGUAUUAUAAUCUUUACAUGGCGGUAUGUUGGUUGUUUCUGUUGCUGAUAUCGGUAUUGUCUUUAUUAUUGUUGUUGUUUUGGCUAUUAAGCUCGCUGGGCUUUUCUUCCUUGGAUCUCCCCCAUUACACAAAGCCUGCCCUUCUCCAUAGUGACACUGCUGUUUGUUGCUGUCCCCUAUCACAGUGCUGAAAUAGUUCCCCGCUCCUUGGCUUUCCCUGGCCGUGGUGCUGACAGCGAUAUCGACUUCUGUCUCUUCACACAAGCUCUCGGCCUUGGUGUCUGUGUGUCUGUGUGGUGGUGUGGGGGAUGGAUGUGAGAGGGCAGUUGAUCAGACUCUAGGAUCCUUAUGGUUCCUGGGAUUUCUCACUAGCUAAAAGACCCUGGGGUUGGGGAGGGAUCUUGUUUUCUUCUGCUGCUUUGCUCGGUUGUCUUCUCUUCCAGCCACUAACGACCCAAUCUGGACAGUCCACAAGACCAUAGAGGAUCUGGAGCCUCAGAGAUGCUUGCCCUGAUUCUUUUUUGCUGUCAGCCAGUGGUUUGGACAUUUCCAGAGUGGCUGCGCACCCAGACAUCUGCCUGUUUCGGACUCCACUUGCGGCUACAUCCUGACUCUUCUCUUCGGAGCAGUGACCAGCCUUGUCCAGAGUUCCAUCUCCAAGUCCCAGAUCGAGGAUACUCAGCCUGGGCCAACAGAUGCUUCUGCUCAGGAUCUCCCCACCACCCUGUCCCUUUCCCACCCAGCAGAGUGAGUGGCAGAGCUCAGAGAAUGCUGGAAAGAGGCCUGCAUUUAGAGUUGGAUGAUGUGGGUUUGAAUCCUGGCCUUGCUACUUCUACCUAUGUGAAUUCUGACAAACUGCUUCAUCUCUCUGGGCUUCAGUUUCCCCCCUUGUAAAAUGAGAGGGGUUGGACCUCAGAAGACCCUUUCCAUGCUAGAUCUAUAACCCAAGGGCCUGUUAGUGAGUUCCUGACUUGGCUCCCAUCCCACAGAGAAGGAUGACCUUUGAAUUUGAGCAGGAGAUACAGAACAAUGCUGCCUACAGAGGCAGAGUCCCAGGUAAAGGCACACGUAUGGGGCUCUGGGGAGAGUUCCAGCCAUAGCACAGCUGCCUAUCUGGGGGAUGUAUAGAGCCACCAGGGAGACGUUCCCUGAUCUUCAAUCCUGACCUCUUCUAUAUGAGGGGCAGAGGGUGGAUGC